GGUUAGGGUCAGAGGGAAGGGUCAGGGUCAGGGUCAGAGGGAAGGCUUAGGGUCAGAGGGAAGCGUCAGGGUCAGAGGGAAGGGUUAGGGUCAGAGGGAAGGGUUAGGGUCAGAGGGAAGGGUCAGGGUCAGAGGGAAGGCUUAGGGUCAGAGGGAAGGGUUGGGGUCAGAGGGAAGGCUUAGGGUCAGAGGGAAGGGUUAGGGUCAGAGGGAAGGGUUAGGGUCAGAGGAAGGGGUUAGGGUCAGGGUCAGAGGGAAGGGUCAGGGUCAGAGGGAAGGGUCAGGGUCAGAGGGAAGGGUUAGGGUCAGAGGGAAGGGUUAGGGUCAGAGGGAAGGGUUAGGGUCAGAGGGAAGCGUUAGGGUCAGGGUCAGAGGGAAGGGUCAGGGUCAGAGGGAAGGCUUAGGGUCAGAGGGAAGGCUUAGGGUCAGAGGAAGGGUUGGGGUCAGAGGGAAGGCUUAGGGUCAGAGGGAAGGGUUAGGGUCAGAGGGAAGGGUUAGGGUCAGAGGGAAGGGUUAGGGUCAGAGGGAAGGGUUAGGG
ensembl:lncRNA